GCUGGGCGUGGUGGCACACGCCUGUAGUCCCAGCUACUCAGGAGGCUGAGGCAGAAGAAUCACUUGAGCCUGGGAGGUGGAGGUUGUAGUGAGCCAAGAUCACGCCACUGCACUCCCGCCUGGCAACAGAGUGAGACUCUGCCUCAA
ensembl:misc_RNA Metazoa_SRP Metazoan signal recognition particle RNA